rnacentral:misc_RNA from 1 species
UAGAUCUGAAUCCUCUCCCACCUAAAUACAAUGUCAGACUCAGACCGUCAACAGAACUCGGUCAACGUAUAGAAAGACGGUAUAUUUUUAGUAUAGUCAAGUACCAAAUCGUUCGCAGACGUUUCUUCGUGAAUUGUUAAAAUAGAACUCAAAUUUCUAAAAAUCAGUGAACAAAAUUUUAUAUUAACUAUUUAACCACUAUGACCUAGAACUGACGGAACGUGAUAACGUAUGACUUUCGUGUUGCGGAUUAGAGUAUUGUGAAGUUUUUUAAUAUUCAGAGUCAUAACUUGAAUUAAAAAUGUAUGGAUUUGCUGUAAACCCGCAACAAUAUUAUAACGCGUAUCCAACUGUUGCGUAUAAUCAACCACCGAGUGCAAUUAACGGUUAUGGCUGGCAUGGAAAUGGAUAUGGGUGGCAAGCCGAUCCUUCCACGUGGCAUGUGCCAAGCCCGGAUGAACCACCUACCGAAGUUGUUGAAGAACCCAUGCUCACAGCUCAAAAGGUUGAGAAACAAGAGUCUUGGUUUGGUGAGCGAGGUUCGGGAUUUAAACGAGAUGAACCUCAAGAUUUCUAUUCUUUGCGCGACGAAUGUUUAGAUAAUGGAACGUUAUUUGAAGAUCCAGAUUUUCCACCAACUGAUUCUUCCUUGUUUUAUAGUAGACGACCAGAUAGAUAUUAUGAAUGGAAACGUCCACACGAAAUUUCCGAUAAUCCUCAAUUUUUCGUCGAGGGUUACUCGAGAUUCGACGUCCAACAAGGUGAAUUGGGUGACUGUUGGUUACUGGCAGCUGUCGCAAACCUAACAUUAUAUAAAAGAUUGUUCUUCCAAGUAGUUCCUGAUGAUCAGGGAUUUGAAGAAAAAUAUGCAGGCAUUUUUCACUUCAGAUUUUGGCAAUAUGGUCGCUGGGUUGACGUAGUUAUAGACGAUAGGUUACCCACGUAUCGCGGGCAGUUAGUAUUUUUACAUUCAACUGAAGAUAACGAAUUUUGGAGUGCCUUAUUAGAAAAAGCUUACGCCAAAUUACACGGUUCUUAUGAAGCUUUAAAAGGAGGCUCAACAUGUGAAGCUAUGGAAGAUUUUACUGGAGGUGUUACCGAAAUGUACGAAAUGAAUGCUUCUCCACCUAAUUUAUUUAAAAUUGUUUUAAAAGCAUUUGAAAGAUCUUCAUUAAUGGGCGCAUCUUUAGAGCCCGAUCCAAAUGUCUUAGAAGCGGAAACCGGCGAAGGUUUAAUCAGAGGUCACGCAUAUAGUAUCACUAGAGUGCGUUACGUCGAUAUAGAAACGCCCAACUCUAGAGGAAAGAUUCCAUUACUUAGACUAAGAAAUCCAUGGGGAAACGAAGCAGAAUGGAACGGACCUUGGAGUGAUAAAUCACCCGAAUGGCGUUUCAUUCCGGAACAUGAAAAACAAGAAUUAGGUUUAACAUUCGAUAAUGAUGGCGAAUUUUGGAUAUCAUUCAAAGAUUUUAUGCAACAUUUCGAUCGCUUAGAAAUAUGUAAUUUAAAUCCGGAUUCGUUGACGGAAGAAGAAUUAAGUGAAGGACAUAAAAAACGUUGGGAAGUUUCGUUCUUUGAAGGUGAAUGGGUUCGUGGUGUUACAGCUGGAGGAUGUAGAAAUUAUUUGGAAACAUUUUGGCAUAAUCCGCAAUAUAGGGUUACAUUAACGGAAGUUGAUGAUGAUGAUGAAGAAGGAAAAUGUACGCUUAUUGUUGCAUUGAUGCAAAAAAAUAGAAGGUCUCAACGUAAUAUGGGUAUAGAUGUCCUUACUGUUGGUUUUGCUAUUUACCAUUUACCAUAUCCAGAUAGAGUAUCAAAACCUUUAGACUUAAAUUUUUUCAAAUAUAAUGCUUCAGUGGCUCGAUCUCCAUCAUUUAUAAAUCUUCGUGAGGUUAGCUGCAGGUUCAAAUUACCUCCAGGAACGUACUGUAUAGUUCCGUCCACUUUUGAGCCAAGUGAAGAAGGCGAAUUCCUGUUGAGAAUCUUCUCAGAACACCAAAACAAUAUGGAAGAAAAUGACGCUCAAAUCGGCAUGGGUGAAGUUGAUAAAAGGGUUCGAAACGUUCAACCGACACCACAAAUUAAUCAGGUUAACGAUCAAGUUUAUGAAUUUUUCAAAAAAUUGGCUGGUGAGGACGGCGAAGUUGAUUGGAUGGAAUUAAAACAAGUUUUGGAUUAUGCUAUGAGAUUAGAGUUACAAAAUAAAGGAUUUUCAAAGGACGUUUGUAGGAGUAUGGUUGCAAUGCUCGAUUCUGAUCACUCAGGAAAGUUACGAUUCGAAGAAUUUAAAUCUUUAUGGCAUGAUGUAAGAGACUGGAAGAUGGCAUUCCGUUUGUAUGAUAGAGACAAUUCGGGAACUCUGGAUGGUUUUGAGCUGCGCCAAGCGUUCACCUCCGCAGGAUACAAUUUAAAUUAUCGCGUUUUAAACAUUUUAAUGCAUCGUUAUGGCAAUCAAAACGGUCAAAUGGAAUUUGACGAUUUCAUAAAUUGUGCGGUCAAGUUAAAAACGAUGUUAGUUCAAACAGGUGGUAUUAGCGAAGAUGCUCUUAUUCGAGCAAUCCAAUACGAUCAAGAAAACGACAAUAGGUUUGUAAAUCGAUACAACGAGAAAGGUUUUAAUGUCAAUAAUUAUUAUGGGUUUAUAUGAAUUAACGACAAGUUCUACUAAUAAAGUAACAAAAUUGUGUUGUAUAUUUAUAACAUGGUAUAUUUGAGAGUAAAAACGAGGAUCGCAAAGACAAUGCGGAGUUUUCCUUA